UACGGAGGGAGCUAGCGUUGCUCGGAAUGACUGGGCGUAAAGGGCGCGUAGGCGGCUUGUAUAGUCGGAUGUGAAAUUCCUGGGCUUAACCUGGGGGCUGCAUACGAGACGUAUGGGCUUGAGUGCGGAAGAGGGUCGUGGAAUUCCCAGUGUAGAGGUGAAAUUCGUAGAUAUUAGGAAGAACACCAGUGGCGAAGGCGGCUCACUGGCCCGGUACUGACGCUGAGGCGCGAAAGCGUGGGGAGCAAACAGG
rnacentral:rRNA from 1 species